rnacentral:rRNA from 1 species
UAGGGAAUUUUCCACAAUGGACGAAAGCCUGACCCAGCAACGCCGCGUGAAGGAUGAAGUAUUUCGGUAUGUAAACUUCGAAAGAAUAGGAAGAAUAAAUGACGGUACUAUUUAUAAGGUCCGGCUAACUACGUGCCAGCAGCCGCGGUAAUACGUAGGGACCAAGCGUUGUUCGGAUUUACUGGGCGUAAAGGGCGCGUAGGCGGCAAUUCAAGUCAUCUGUGAAAUCUCCGGGCUUAACUCGGAACGGUCAGAUGAUACUGCUUUGCUAGAGUGCAGAAGGGGCAAUCGGAAUUCUUGGUGUAGCGGUGAAAUGCGUAGAUAUCAAGAGGAACACCUGAGGUGAAGACGGGUUGCUGGGCUGACACUGACGCUGAGGCGCGAAAGCCAGGGGAGCAAACGGGAUUAGAUACCCCCGUAGUCCCUGAGCGGGCUGGCAAGGCGCAU